AACGAACGCUGGCGGCAUGCCUAACACAUGCAAGUCGAACGAGACCUUCGGGUCUAGUGGCGCACGGGUGCGUAACGCGUGGGAACCUGCCCUUAGGUUCGGAAUAACUCCCCGAAAGGGGUGCUAAUACCGGAUAAUGUCUUCGGACCAAAGAUUUAUCGCCUUUGGAUGGGCCCGCGUUGGAUUAGCUAGUUGGUAGGGUAAAAGCCUACCAAGGCGACGAUCCAUAGCUGGUCUGAGAGGAUGAUCAGCGACACUGGGACUGAGACACGGCCCAGACUCCUACGGGAGGCAGCAGUGGGGAAUAUUGGACAAUGGGCGAAAGCCUGAUCCAGCAAUGCCGCGUGAGUGAUGAAGGCCUUAGGGUUGUAAAGCUCUUUUACCCGGGAUGAUAAUGACAGUACCGGGAGAAUAAGCACCGGCUAACUCCGUG
rnacentral:rRNA from 1 species